rfam:Geobacillus thermodenitrificans NG80-2, complete genome.
GUUUCAAUCCCUCAUAGGUACGAUACAAAC